rnacentral:rRNA from 1 species
GCAGCCGCGGUAAUUCCAGCUCCAAUAGCGUAUAUUAAAGUUGUUGCAGUUAAAAAGCUCGUAGUUGGAUUUCUGCGAGGGUGCCAAUGUCCGCCGACGCGCGUGCGCAGCGGCGCCCUCGCAUCCUUCUGUUACCACCUCUCGGCAUUCACUUGCCGGUGGUCGGCUCAGAGAAUUUACCUUGAGAAAAUUAGAGUGUUUCAGGCAGGCUGGGCCGGAAUACAUUAGCAUGGAAUAAUGGAAUAGGACUACGGUCUCGUUGUUGGUUUGAGGGACUGCAGUAAUGAUUAAUAGGGAUAGUUGGGGGCAUUAGUAUUUAAUUGUCAGAGGUGAAAUUCUCAGAUUUGUUAAAGACUAACUUAUGCGAAAGCAUUUGCCAAGGAUGUUUUCAUCAAUCAAGAACGAAAGU